AUUGAACGCUGGCGGCAGGCCUAACACAUGCAAGUCGAGCGGAUGAAGGGAGCUUGCUCCUGGAUUCAGCGGCGGACGGGUGAGUAAUGCCUAGGAAUCUGCCUGGUAGUGGGGGAUAACGUCCGGAAACGGGCGCUAAUACCGCAUACGUCCUGAGGGAGAAAGUGGGGGAUCUUCGGACCUCACGCUAUCAGAUGAGCCUAGGUCGGAUUAGCUAGUUGGUGGGGUAAAGGCCUACCAAGGCGACGAUCCGUAACUGGUCUGAGAGGAUGAUCAGUCACACUGGAACUGAGACACGGUCCAGACUCCUACGGGAGGCAGCAGUGGGGAAUAUUGGACAAUGGGCGAAAGCCUGAUCCAGCCAUGCCGCGUGUGUGAAGAAGGUCUUCGGAUUGUAAAGCACUUUAAGUUGAGAGGAAGGGCAGUAAGUUAAUACCUUGCUGUUUUGACGUUACCAACAGAAUAAGCACCGGCUAACUUCGU
rnacentral:rRNA from 1 species